UACGAAGGGGGCUAGCGUUGCUCGGAAUCACUGGGCGUAAAGCGCACGUAGGCGGAUCUUUUAAGUCAGGGGGUGAAAUCCCAAGGCUCAACCUUGGAACUGCCUUUGAUACUGGGGAUCUCGAGUCCGGAAGAGGUUGGUGGAACUGCGAGUGUAGAGGUGAAAUUCGUAGAUAUUCGCAAGAACACCAGUGGCGAAGGCGGCCAACUGGUCCGGUACUGACGCUGAGGUGCGAAAGCGUGGGGAGCAAACAGGG
rnacentral:rRNA from 1 species